GGGGGCUGAACAUUGCUGCGACGGCGAGCUUGUUCUUGUACUUCUACAAGCUCACCAAAGAGAAGUCUGGAUCCGGUCGUUUUGGGUUCACACGACGACAUUUCGACAAGAACAUCGUCGAUGAGCUCCCGACGAACUUCGGAUCCAAUUGGAGAAGAGAGUUUAUAUUUAUCACCUCUGAAUUUCUUCCCGGGAGUCGGGAAAUGUGGAAUGACCCCAAUCGAGUGCAUAUGAACGCCUCGAUUGAGCUGAGCACGAGGGAUAUUGAGGCCUCGGAUCGAAU
rnacentral:lncRNA from 1 species